rnacentral:rRNA from 1 species
UACGAAGGGUGCUAGCGUUGUUCGGAAUCACUGGGCGUAAAGCGCGCGUAGGUGGCUUGCCAAGUCAGAGGUGAAAUCCCAGGGCUUAACCCUGGAAUUGCCUUUGAAACUGGUAAGCUUGAGUACUGGAGGGGAUGGUGGAAUUUCUAAUGUAGCGGUGAAAUGCGUAGAUAUUAGAAGGAACACCGGUGGCGAAGGCGACCAUCUGGACAGUAACUGACACUGAGGCGCGAAAGCGUGGGGAUCAAACAGG